GCCGCGAUGGUCUAGUGGUAUGAUUCUCGCUUAGGGCACACCCUGAGUUGAUCGAUUGGGCAACUAAUCGAUCCACAAUUUGCGAGAGGUCCCGGGUUCAAUCCCCGGUUGCGGCC